UACGAAGGGGGGCUAGCGUUGCUCGGAUUGACUGGGCGUAAAGGGCGCGUAGGCGGUUCGUACAGUCAGACGUGAAAUUCCUGGGCUCAACCUGGGGGGCUGCGUUUGAUACGUGCGGGCUUGAGUUCGGAAGAGGGUCGUGGAAUUCCCAGUGUAGAGGUGAAAUUCGUAGAUAUUGGGAAGAACACCGGUGGCGAAGGCGGCGACCUGGUCCGAUACUGACGCUGAGGCGCGAAAGCGUGGGGAGCAAACAGG
rnacentral:rRNA from 1 species